AAUGAUUUCUACCGUCCCUUCAGUUUUAAAUCCCUUUCCCACUGGUAUUAUACCUUUUCCUGCCAGUGUAGAACCUAGCAGAUAUCGAUUAAUCUAAUUUUAUGUUAUUUUUAUUUUGCCUUUAGGUCAAUUUUUCAUUGGAUUGGUUUGAAUUUUCUUUCAAUUUUGUUGAUUUCUUGGGUAUUUAGGGUUGUUAUACCGUUCCAUGCACUACAUUUUAGAGUUCAUUGUAAUUUGUAGCACUGGCCGUUUUUCUCCUUCUCCUCUCCGACUUGCCUAUUUACAAAUUUGUAUUUAAUAUAAUAAUUUCUCCUAUUCAGGUCUAUUACUUCAAGGAGAUAGGGGAGAAUUGCAAGCAUGAGAUGCCGGAAUGGAGCAGAAGCUUGAAAUUCAAACAAUCUAUCAAAUUUUUAUAUCGUUAUACAUCAGGUAUACCGACCUCAAUUUUUCCAAAUCAAACCAAGAAAAUAUAGGUUCUCCCCUUUUUUAUUUACCGACUAUGAAUUUCUGAUUUGAGUAGAGAUUGCAACACUAAAUUCCUUAUAGGGUGAGUUCACAAUUUUGCGGUCUACAUGAGUUACAUUCUGCUACCACAACAAUUAGUCUUCUAAUUUUUCUUCAACACCCAUACUUUUAUCUAACUCUGUUGGAGGCUAAUGGAGAUUAAACAAACAACAAACUACCUUAAGUUGAUGACAUGAUGGUUAACCUUAAAAUACACAUAUCUCUUUUUCUGAAAAUUGGCACGGACUAGCACGAAUCAACAGGCAAGUUGGUAAAUUAUUUUUUGUCAUUGAUGUUAUGAUAAACAAAGUCGUGCUAUCAUAUGAAUGGAUUGUUGGUGUUCUGUGGUAAUAGGAAGUUCUACUUUAAAGUUUACAGGCUAGCUUCCUGGUACGUAUGAAUGACAAGACUCAAAUUGGACAUAGAAGACGGUUUCCAUGUUCUAAGGUAUGAAACUUACCUUUAAUAUGUCUCUCAUUUUUCUUGAUUUUGGU
rnacentral:lncRNA from 1 species